AUUGAACGCUGGCGGCAUGCCUUACACAUGCAAGUCGAACGGUAACGGGUCCUUCGGGAUGCCGACGAGUGGCGAACGGGUGAGUAAUAUAUCGGAACGUGCCCAGUAGUGGGGGAUAACUGCUCGAAAGAGCAGCUAAUACCGCAUACGACCUGAGGGUGAAAGGGGGGGAUCGCAAGACCUCUCGCUAUUGGAGCGGCCGAUAUCAGAUUAGCUAGUUCGUGGGGUAAAGGCCUACCAAGGCAACGAUCUGUAGUUGGUCUGAGAGGACGACCAGCCACACUGGGACUGAGACACUGCCCAGACUCCUACGGGAGGCAGCAGUGGGGAAUUUUGGACAAUGGGCGCAAGCCUGAUCCAGCAAUGCCGCGUGCAGGAAGAAGGCCUUCGGGUUGUAAACUGCUUUUGUCAGGGAAGAAAUCUUCUGGGCUAAUACCCCGUGAGGAUGACGGUACCUGAAGAAUAAGCACCGGCUAACUACGUGCCAGCCGCCGCCGUAAAAC
rnacentral:rRNA from 1 species